UACGUAGGGUGCAAGCGUUGUCCGGAAUUAUUGGGCGUAAAGAGCUCGUAGGCGGUUUGUCGCGUCUGCUGUGAAAACUCGGGGCUUAACCCCGGGCCUGCAGUGGGUACGGGCAGACUAGAGUGCGGUAGGGGAGACUGGAAUUCCUGGUGUAGCGGUGAAAUGCGCAGAUAUCAGGAGGAACACCGGUGGCGAAGGCGGAUCUCUGGGCCGAUACUGACGCUGGAGGAGCGAAAGCGUGGGGAGCGAACAGG
rnacentral:rRNA from 1 species